UCUAUCCUACGGGACGCAGCAGUGGGGAAUAUUGGACAAUGGGGGGAACCCUGAUCCAGCGACGCCGCGUGAGUGAAGAAGUAUUUCGGUAUGUAAAGCUCUAUCAGCAGGGAAGAAAGAAAUGACGGUACCUGACUAAGAAGCCCCGGCUAACUACGUGCCAGCAGCCGCGGUAAUACGUAGGGGGCAAGCGUUAUCCGGAUUUACUGGGUGUAAAGGGAGCGUAGACG
rnacentral:rRNA from 1 species